rnacentral:rRNA from 1 species
GCCCUUAAGAGUUUGAUCCUGGCUCAGGAUUAACGCUGGUGGCGUGCUUAAUACAUGCAAGUCGAACGGAAAUCUUUUAGAUUUUAGUGGCGAACGGGUGAGUAACACGUAAGCAACCUGCCUUUAAGACGAGAAUAACAAUUGGAAACAGUUGCUAAGGCUGGAUAGGAUAUAUAAAGGCAUCUUUUUAUUUUUAAAAGACCUUUUUCGGAAGGUAUGCUUAAAGAGGGGCUUGCGUCACAUUAGUUAGUUGGUAGGGUAAAGGCCUACCAAGACGAUGAUGUGUAGCUGGACUGAGAGGUUGAACAGCCACAUUGGGACUGAGACACGGCCCAAACUCCUACGGGAGGCAGCAGUAGGGAAUUUUCGGCAAUGGAGGAAACUCUGACCGAGCAACGCCGCGUGAACGACGAAGUACUUCGGUAUGUAAAGUUCUUUUAUUGAAGAAGAAACAAUAGUGGAAAAACUAUCUUGACGUUGUUCAAUGAAUAAGCCCCGGCUAACUAUGUGCCAGCAGCCGCGGUAAUACAUAGGGGGCGAGCGUUAUCCGGAAUUAUUGGGCGUAAAGGGUGCGUAGGCGGUUUAAUAAGUCUCUAGUUUAAUUUCAACGCUUAACGUUGUCCUGCUAGAGAAACUGUUUAACUAGAGUGAGAUAGAGGUAAGCGGAAUUCCAUGUGUAGCGGUAAAUGUGUAAAUAUAUGGAGGGACACCAGAGGCGU